rnacentral:rRNA from 1 species
GAAUUGUUCACAAUGGGCGCAAGCCUGAUGACGCAACGCCGCGUGGAGGAUGAAGGUCUUCGGAUUGUAAACUCCUGUUGCCCGGGACGAAAUGCUCCAACCUAAUACGUUGGAGUUUGACGGUACCGGGUGAGGAAGCCCCGGCUAACCCUGUGCCCGCAGCCGCGGUAAUACAGAGGGGGCGAGCGUUGUUCGGAAUUACUGGGCGUAAAGGGCGCGUAGGCGGCCUUCUAAGUCGAACGUGAAAUCCCCGGGCUCAACCCGGGAACUGCGUCCGAGACUGAAAGGCUAGAAUCCGGGAGAGGGAUGUGGAAUUCCAGGUGUAGCGGUGAAAUGCGUAGAUAUCUGGAGGAACAUCGGUGGCGAAGGCGGCAUCCUGGACCGGUAUUGACGCUGAGGCGCGAAAGCCAGGGGAGCAAACGGG